rnacentral:lncRNA from 1 species
AAAAAGAAAAGAUAAAUUGCAGGAACCUCUGAUUUUGAUACCUCAGUGAAAGAGAUAACUGUUAAUCCGGUACUUGAUAACCCUCGAGGGGUCAACGAGGUGCGUAUUGAGUCAGCAUGACUAAGUCUUGUCGAAAAGAGUAUGCAAUUUACCUAAGCAAAGAGUUUAUCGACUGUGAAACCAUACACCCGCUGUUCGAAAAACUUGAUGUACUUUGGCAUAGGCUGCUCGCCGACUGAGACAGUGUAUGUUGAUUCAUACCACUUUGUGGAUGUCCAAAAUGGAUCUGAUCAGAUAUGUGUUUGAGAAGCUAGUAGCAACCCAUGGAAAGGUUAUCAACCAAGGAAGUUUGAGGUCCCUGAUGAGGACAUCUCGAGGUACUCAAAUCGAAAGAUUGAGAGUGACCGAUCCCGGAGGAGGGGCCUGGCCCUGAAUCCGAACGGAUUCCGAUGUCUGAUGGGGAAGUAAAGUGAAUGAGGUAGUGCUCCCCGAAUCCCAGUUGGUUGCACCAACAAUGGUGGCUGAACAUAAAGUCUGUAUCCUGGAUAUUGAAUCUUGGGAUGUGCAUCUACUUGGGGCAGUGACUUCCUCACAGAUAUAUGAGAAAUCAGAGAAGACUGAAUGGAUAAGGACUCGGAAUGACAUGUCAAGUCCAAUUGAGGAAAAAGCGUUGACAGUUACCUGGCAUGGGGCGGUUGUACCCAGUGAACGAAGCAUGUUGUUAACCAAGAAGUGUGACCUCGCGCGU